AUAUAUAUAUAUAUAUAUAUAUAUAUAUAUAGGGUGUGGUUCUAGAGAGAACUACAUUAUUUGUGAGAACGGGAGAACUAUCAAAUCUAAUGCAUUCACUGUAAAAAUUAAUGCAUUCGCUGUUAAAAUUAAUGCACUCAAAAAAAUAAAAAAAAAUUGCUCCCUUCAGGAUUCGAACCCAGGAUCUGCAUUCAUCCAACAAGAUGAUGUAUCCACCGUAGAUCUUGAUGAUCGAAUGGCUGAAAA
rnacentral:lncRNA from 1 species